UACAUGUGGGGCAAGCGUUGUCCGGAUUUAUUGGGCGUAAAGCGCGCGCAGGCGGUCUUUCAAGUUUCGCGUGACAGGUGGCGGCUUAACUACCACAGGCCGUGGAAAACUGGAAGACUUGAGGAUUCGAGAGGGAGCGGAAUUCCAGGUGGAGCGGUGAAAUGCGUAGAGAUCUGGAAGAACACCAAAGGCGAAGGCAGCGUCCUGGCGAAUAUCUGACGCUCAUGUGCGAAAGCCAGGGGAGCGAACGGG
rnacentral:rRNA from 1 species